GACAGAGGUGGCGAGCGUUGUUCGGAUUUAUUGGGCGUAAAGCGAACGCAGGUGGUUUGGUAAGUCAGGGGUGAAAGUCCGCAGCUUAACUGCGGCACUGCCUCUGAUACUGCCUUUCUUGAGUGCAUGAGGGGGAAGCGGAAUUCCGAGUGUAGAGGUGAAAUUCGUAGAUAUUCGGAGGAACACCGGUGGCGAAGGCGGCUUCCUGGGAUGUAACUGACACUCAUGUUCGAAAGCGUGGGUAGCAAACAGG
rnacentral:rRNA from 1 species